GGAGAACACGAGGCGGAGGCGCGCCCCAGCUGGCCACACGCUGCCCAGGGCCGGCGUCGGUCAAGAGCCCUCUCUUCAAGCAGGAUUAAGAGGGAACCAAGGGGCUGGCAGAGGGGCCUCAGAAGCUCCUGGGCGAGGCCUGAGCCCGUGGGUCUCGACACUAAAAUCUGGCGAGCUCCCUGCGCGUCCGCAAAGAUUUUGGAGCUCUGAAGAGCCCGGCGACGCCUGCGCUGGCCAGGCGCCGUGCCCACGGGAGGCGCCGUCCUCUUUGUAACUCGAGCAGACCCUGGCGGGCCAGUUGCUAUGGCAAUGUUCCUCGCUCUGCUCGGUGAGGCCGGGAGGAGCAGAUCCGGGGUAGAGGGAAAAGAGCUCCGGGCCAGGGGCUGCCGUCGCCGCCGUCGGGGAGUCAGCCCGCCAGCCCGCCAGCUCGUCAGCCCGCCAGCCAGCGCUUCGCGGGCCCUGUCGGUCCCGAUCAGACCAAACAU
rnacentral:lncRNA from 1 species